AGCGAACGCUGGCGGCAGGCUUAACACAUGCAAGUCGAGCGGGCAUCUUCGGAUGUCAGCGGCAGACGGGUGAGUAACACGUGGGAACGUACCCUUCGGUUCGGAACAACUCUGGGAAACUGGAGCUAAUACCGUAUACGCCCUUAUGGGGAAAGGUUUACUGCCGAAGGAUCGGCCCGCGUCUGAUUAGCUAGUUGGUGGGGUAACGGCCUACCAGGGCGACGAUCAGUAGCUGGUCUGAGAGGAUGAUCAGCCACACUGGGACUGAGACACGGCCCAGAAUCCGACGGGAAGGAGAAGAGGGGAAUAUUGGACAAGGGGGGCAAGCCUGAUCCAGCCAUGCCGCGUGAGUGAUGAAGGCCGUAGGGUUGUAAAGCUCUUUUGUCCGGGACGAUAAUGACGGUACCGGAAGAAGAAGCCCCGGCUAACUUCGUG
rnacentral:rRNA from 1 species